rnacentral:tRNA from 1 species
UCCCUGGUGGCUUAGCAGUGAAGAACCUGCCUGCAGUGCAGGAGACCAGGGUUCAAUCCCUGGGUUGGGAA